UAACAUAACCCAACUGAAUUUCCUGCCAA
rnacentral:piRNA from 1 species